rnacentral:rRNA from 1 species
CCUACGGGUGGCAGCAGUGGGGAAUAUUGGUCAAUGGGCGAGAGCCUGAUCCAGCCACGUCGCGUGAGGGAGUACUGCCCUAUGGGUUGUAAACCUCUUUUGUCGGGGAGCAAAAGCCGGACGUUUCCGGCUGUGAGAGUACCCGAAGAGUAAGCAUCGGCUAACUCCGUCCCAGCAGCCGCGGUAAUACGGGGGUUGCAAGCGUUAUCCGGAUUUAUUGGGGUAAAGGGGUGCGCAGGAGGAUUUUUAAGUCAGCGGUCAAAUCGUGGGUCUAAACCUCAUCCAGCGGUGGAAACUGGGGAGCGAGAGUGUGCGAGAGGUAUGCGGAAUGCGUGGUGUAGCGGUGAAAUGCAUAGAUAUCACGCAGAACCCCGAUUGCGAAGGCAGCAUACCGGUGCACAACUGACGCUCAGGCACGAAAGCGUGGGUAUCGAACAGGAUUAGAUACCCUUGUAGUC